UGCCAGACUCCUACGGGAGGCAGCAGUGGGGAAUAUUGCACAAUGGGGGAAACCCUGAUGCAGCGACGCCGCGUGAGCGAUGAAGUAUUUCGGUAUGUAAAGCUCUAUCAGCGGGGAAGAAAAUGACGGUACCCGACUAAGAAGCCCCGGCUAACUACGUGCCAGCAGCCGCGGUAAUACGUAGGGGGCAAGCGUUAUCCGGAUUUACUGGGUGUAAAGGGAGCGUAGACGGUUCUGCAAGCCAGAUGUGAAAGUCCGGGGCUCAACCCCGGGACUGCAUUUGGAACUGUAAGGCUAGAGUGUCGGAGAGGCAGGCGGAAUUCCUGGUGUAGCGGUGAAAUGCGUAGAUAUCAGGAGGAACACCGGCGGCGAAGGCGGCCUGCUGGACCGCGACUGACGUUGAGGCUCGAAAGCGUGGGGAGCAAACAGGAUUAGAUACCCCUGUA
rnacentral:rRNA from 1 species